AACCCUAGAUUUCUCUUCUUAUCUUCUUCAAACCCCUAAACCCUUUUGAAAUCCACUUCAAAUGUCUAAGCUCUUUUUUAUUUCUUUUCUCUCUGUUGAAGAAUUUUGCAUUCAGAUCCAGUUCCUUUGUUUGGACAGAGUAAUCACGGUCGAUUUUCUCUUAAUCUAUGUUUGAAUUAUUCUCUCUUUUUUAAACAGAUUUUGUUGAAUCAACCGUGUUACUCUGUCUAAUCAGAUGUAUUGGAUCAUCAACCUUCGAUUCAUUUAGCCAUGAAAAUGAUGAAGUAAAGGGCGAUCUAUUUUCCUCCACCAAUAUCCAGAGAUAAGCAAAUUGCCGGAAACCGGUACUCUUGCAAUCGGCAACAAAAAAAUCAAAAUGAAAAAGCGAUGUGAUGUGACGUUUUUCUUUCCUUUUUGUUGUUUCUAGAUCUUGAUUGCUGCAAAAAUGGUGAAACACGUGGGCCUUUGGUCAGCGCCCACUGCUUUCCAGCUUUCAGGGAAAUUUGAAAUAAGGAAAUUACUAAAACCGUGCAAAUUGGGAGAUGUAACCCCUGACACUUACAGGUUGAAAGUCACUGCCCAAAGCUCGCAUUUCUAAGCUCAUUGCCUUCAGACAAUCCCCUUUCGUCGUUGAAUUGUUGACCUCAAAACUUAUUUCUUUAAUAUCAUGUAGAAAAUCUAGGUUUUUACUUAAAUAUAUUUUUAAAAAAAAUUAAAUAUCUAAAUAAGUUGUCAGCUAGAUUAAUUACCGAAAUGGUACGUUUUCUUUAAUCGCGCCUAUCUGACAAGCGCAAAUGAAUUUUUUUAUAUUAAAAAAUAUAUUUUUUUGUUUAAAUAAAAUAUUACUUUUUUAUUUUUUUAAAAAAUAUUUAAAUAUAUAUACAGAUAAAAAUACGGUCAACGGGUUAAAUACAGGUAAAAAACGGGUCGUGCCUGUCAGAUAGGCGCGACUAAUCGAGCCUGUCAGACAGGCGCGACUAAUCAAGCCUGACAGGUAGGCGCGAAUGGUCUGUUGUUGCUGCAUGCAUGCCCCUUGCCCCGCUCCAUCUACUAGCAGUUGUUGCUGUAUCAUGCUGUUGUUGUCCCUUCAAUGGGAAAAAAUUGUAAAUGGGAGACCUUAUAAGCAUGGUCCCCGAAACCCCAUCCACCGGAGGAGAGAAAAAAAAGAGAGAAAGGAGAAGAAGAAGAAAGAAAGGAAAAAGUAAUGUAUUAUUUUAGUAAAUAAUUUUGUUUAUAAUUUAAAGAGUUUAAUUAAGAUAUUGUGAUUUUUUUUGUUAUUAAUUAUAAAUUAUUUAUGUUUA